GCGGCUGUAGUCUAGCCUGGUAGGACUUAGAAUUGAAUUAAGGCUCACGGACCUUGGUUCCGAUAAGCAAGCCUUCCAAGCCUAUAACCCGGGUUCAAAUCCCGGCGGCCGCA
rnacentral:tRNA from 1 species